GGACGAGGGACGGUGAGACCCACAGCACCAGGGCGGAGGAAGGACGACCCCGCCUCUUCCCUGGGUCAGGCUGCCGGUGCGGAAGCCUACAGUCAGGCUGCGCAUGCGGGAAACUUACAAUCAGGCUGCGCGUGCGGGAAACAUACAAACAGGAGCCCGUGAGGGACGGGAGAUGCUGCCGUGGGGGCUUUUGUGAAGGAAUUUGGAUCGAGUUCCUAUUUUGGAGGAUUUUGAGGGAGAGACAGGCAAGGCGUGACCUCUGUUGUGUUAAGAAUCCCUUUCUUUGCCCCAGGAAGGCUAGAGGAGCGGCAAGGAGACGUGCAGCCGACAGCAGCCCCGCAUGGGGACAGAGCAGGGAGGAGGCCUGAGGUUCAGCUGCGCGAAGCGAGGCCCGCCAGACCCUAACGGACGGGAGCCGGGCCUCCUUGGGGACCGCGAGCUCAGGAAAGAUGGCACGUUCGUGUCUGCAGUGCUUUGGAGAGGCAGACGCAUUCAUCCAGUCAAUCAACAAACGCCGCUGCCGACUGCUCAGCGGGCACCCGAGCAGGAGGCGGGACUGAACUGUGACCCGCUCUCAUCAAAGCCUCCCUCAGGGUCCCAGGGCUGCGAACAUCAGGUAGGUGUGGAGCGAGCGGGACGGCUGACUCUGCCUCUCACGUGCCCUGUGUCUC
rnacentral:lncRNA from 1 species